GGCUGAGUGGCAGAGUGGUCAUGCAGUGGCCUGCAAAGCCGCCUACGGGGGUUCGAUUCCCUCCUCAGCCU
rnacentral:tRNA from 1 species